rnacentral:misc_RNA from 1 species
UGGUUCUGGCAUNGAUGAAGAACGCAGCGAAAUGCGAUAAGUAAUGUGAAUUGCAGAAUUCAGCGAAUCAUCGAAUUUUUGAACGCACAUUGCACCUCAGAGUACUCUUUGAGGUAUACCUGUUCGAGCGUCGUUUAGACCCUAAGGCAUUGCCUUGCGUUGACCGCCUAGAUUUUGGUUGAUAUUUCGAUAGACAACUAAAAUCUAGCAGUCUAAACAGAUUGGCGUCGUUGAUAGACCAAGUCACACACACACGUGAGAUAAAGUCUACCAAAGAUUUGCCUAUUGAACUCUAUUCUGUUUUUGCAACACUGCAAAAACGUAGGUUCGACCUCGGAUCAAGUAAGACUACCCGCUGA